GAUGAAGAACGCAGCGAAAUGCGAUAAGUAAUGUGAAUUGCAGAAUUCAGUGAAUCAUCGAAUCUUUGAACGCUCAUUGCGCCCGCCAGUAUUCUGGCGGGCAUGCCUGUUCGAGCGUCAUUUCAACCAUCAAGCCCCCGGCUUGUGUUGGGGACCUGCGGCUGCCGCAGGCCCUGAAAACCAGUGGCGGGCUCGCUAGUCACUCCGAGCGUAGUAAUACAUCUCGCUCAGGGCGUGCUGCGGGUUCCGGCCGUUAAAAAACCCUUUUAACCCAAGGUUGACCUCGGAUCAGGUAGGAAUACCCGCUGAACUUAAGCAUAUCAAUAAGCGGAGGA
rnacentral:misc_RNA from 1 species